rnacentral:rRNA from 1 species
GAUCCAGACUCCUACGGGAGGCAGCAGUGGGGGAUAUUGCACAAUGGGGGGAACCCUGAUGCAGCGACGCCGCGUGGGUGAAGGAGUGCUUCGGCAUGUAAAGCCCUAUCGGCAGGGAAGAAGCAAGACGGUACCUGACUAAGAAGCCCCGGCUAACUACGUGCCAGCAGCCGCGGUAAUACGUAGGUGGCAAGCGUUGUCCGGAUUUACUGGGUGUAAAGGGCGUGUAGCCGGGAAGGCAAGUCAGAUGUGAAAUCCGGAGGCUCAACCUCCGAAUUGCAUUUGAAACUGUUUUUCUUGAGUACUGGAGAGGCAGACGGAAUUCCUUGUGUAGCGGUGAAAUGCGUAGAUAUAAGGAGGAACACCAUUGGCGAAGGCGGUCUGCUGGACCGCGACUGACGUUGAGGCUCGAAAGCGUGGGGAGCGAACAGGAUUAGAUACCCUCGUAA